rnacentral:rRNA from 1 species
GGGGGGGGGGGGGGGGGGGCGGGGGGCGGGCGGGUGGGGCGGGGGGGCCCGGGGGGGGGGGGGGGCUCGGGGGGCGGACGGGUGAGUGACACGUGAGUACCCUGCCCUUGCCUUUGGGCUAGCUUCAGGGCCCUGGGGCUACUCCCGGAUAGGAGCUCCGGCUGCCUGGUGGGGGUUGGACAGUUUCGGCGGUCGGGGAUGGACUCGCGGCUUAUCAGCUUGUGGGGGGGGUAGUGGCUUACCCAGGCUUUGCCGGGUAGCCGGCCUGAGAGGGGGACCGGCCACGUUGGGACUGAGAUACGGCGCAGACUCCUACGGGAGGCAGCAGUGGGGAAUAUUGCACAAUGGGCGGAAGCCUGAUGCAGCAACGCCGCGUGCGGGAUGACGGCCUUCGGGUGGUAAACCGCUUUCGCCUGUGACGAAGCGUGAGUGACGGUAAUGGGUAAAGAAGCACCGGCUAACUACGUG